UACGUAGGGGGCGAGCGUUGUCCGGAUUUAUUGGGCGUAAAGAGCUCGUAGGCGGUUUGGCAAGUCGGGUGUGAAAACUCCGGCUCAACUCGGAGACGCCACUCGAUACUGCCAUGACUCGAGUCCGGUAGGGGAGUGCGGAAUUCCUGGUGUAGCGGUGAAAUGCGCAGAUAUCAGGAGGAACACCGGUGGCGAAGGCGACCCUCUGGACGGACACUGACGCUGAGACGCGAAAGCGUGGGUAGCAAACGGG
rnacentral:rRNA from 1 species